AGAGUUUGAUCUGGCUCAGAGCGAACGCUGGCGGCGUGCUUAACACAUGCAAGUCGAGUGCGCGCCUGUAGCAAUACAGGUGGCGCACGGCGCACGGGUGCGUAACACGUGGGUAAUCUGCCCUUCGAUGGGGAAUAACUCCGGGAAACCGAAGCUAAUUCCGCAUAACAUUCCUUGAACUUCGGUUUGGGGACUCAAAGCCGUAAGGCGUCGGAGGAGGAACCCGCGCACGAUUAGCUAGUUGGUAGGGUAACGGCCUACCAAGGCUUUGAUCGUUAGCUGGUCUGAGAGGAUGGCCAGCCACACUGGAACUGAGACACGGUCCAGACUCCUAUGGGAGGCAGCAGUGGGGAAUCUUGCACAAUGGGCGAAAGCCUGAUGCAGCGACGCCGCGUGGGGGAUGAAGCUUUUCGGAGUGUAAACCCCUUUCGACCCGGACGAAUGUCCCGCAAGGGAACUGACGGUACGGGUAUAAGAAGCCCCGGCUAACUACGUGCCAGCAGCCGCGGUAAGACGUGGGGGGCCAGCGUUGCUCGGAAUUACUGGGUGUAAAGGGUUCGUAGGCGGUGUAGCAAGUCG
rnacentral:rRNA from 1 species